ensembl:lncRNA
GGUAACCACUGAGUCAUGGCCUGAACCACUAAUUGAGCACCUGGGAAAAGGGCUCAGUUAGCCCUGGGGGCACAGGUGAAAGCAAUGUGACCUGUGUGAAUGGAAGAGGUGGAGCCUCCACCUCUCUUAGACCUCAUUUAAGGGCUGACUGCCAUUGGGGAAGGAUCUCUGGUUGGAGAUUCCUCUCAUGGGGAGUUUCCCUUGCAAGCCUACAUCUUCAGAGACAGAUGAGAACUCCCCAUGCUCUGCUUUGACUUUUCUGUCAAUAACCUUCCCUGACUGGCUCUGGGAUUCAUCAGGACAAGGAGGUUUACUUCAUACACAGCUUAAUACUCUGCUUGAGCCAUUGACAAUUCAUCUCAGCCGACAUCUGAUGAACUUCCAGAGACCCACACAACCCAGAGUGGAAUUCAGUGGUCUUAUAAUGGUGAGAUGGGCAGAAACA